rnacentral:rRNA from 1 species
UACGUAGGGAGCGAGCGUUGUCCGGAAUUACUGGGUGUAAAGGGAGCGUAGGCGGGAUUGCAAGUCAGAUGUGAAAUACAGGGGCUCAACCCCUGGGCUGCAUUUGAAACUGUAGUUCUUGAGUGAAGUAGAGGUAAGCGGAAUUCCUGGUGUAGCGGUGAAAUGCGUAGAUAUCAGGAGGAACACCGGUGGCGAAGGCGGCUUACUGGGCUUUUACUGACGCUGAGGCUCGAAAGCGUGGGGAG